rnacentral:piRNA from 1 species
AACUAUGGUCCUGGAGGAAGUGG